rnacentral:rRNA from 1 species
AGCGUACACGGUGGAUGCCCUGGCAGUCAGAGGCGAUGAAGGACGUGCUAAUCUGCGAUAAGCGUCGGUAAGGUGAUAUGAACCGUUAUAACCGGCGAUUUCCGAAUGGGGAAACCCAGUGUGAUUCGUCACACUAUCAUUAACUGAAUCCAUAGGUUAAUGAGGCGAACCGGGGGAACUGAAACAUCUAAGUACCCCGAGGAAAAGAAAUCAACCGAGAUUCCCCCAGUAGCGGCGAGCGAACGGGGAGCAGCCCAGAGCCUGAAUCAGUGUGUGUGUUAGUGGAAGCGUCUGGAAAGGCGCGCGAUACAGGGUGACAGCCCCGUACACAAAAAUGCACAUGCUGUGAGCUCGAUGAGUAGGGCGGGACACGUGGUAUCCUGUCUGAAUAUGGGGGGACCAUCCUCCAAGGCUAAAUACUCCUGACUGACCGAUAGUGAACCAGUACCGUGAGGGAAAGGCGAAAAGAACCCCGGCGAGGGGAGUGAAAAAGAACCUGAAACCGUGUACGUACAAGCAGUGGGAGCACGCUUAGGCGUGUGACUGCGUACCUUUUGUAUAAUGGGUCAGCGACUUAUAUUCUGUAGCAAGGUUAACCGAAUAGGGGAGCCGAAGGGAAACCGAGUCUUAACUGGGCGUUAAGUUGCAGGGUAUAGACCCGAAACCCGGUGAUCUAGCCAUGGGCAGGUUGAAGGUUGGGUAACACUAACUGGAGGACCGAACCGACUAAUGUUGAAAAAUUAGCGGAUGACUUGUGGCUGGGGGUGAAAGGCCAAUCAAACCGGGAGAUAGCUGGUUCUCCCCGAAAGCUAUUUAGGUAGCGCCUCGUGAAUUCAUCUCCGGGGGUAGAGCACUGUUUCGGCAAGGGGGUCAUCCCGACUUACCAACCCGAUGCAAACUGCGAAUACCGGAGAAUGUUAUCACGGGAGACACACGGCGGGUGCUAACGUCCGUCGUGAAGAGGGAAACAACCCAGACCGCCAGCUAAGGUCCCAAAGUCAUGGUUAAGUGGGAAACGAUGUGGGAAGGCCCAGACAGCCAGGAUGUUGGCUUAGAAGCAGCCAUCAUUUAAAGAAAGCGUAAUAGCUCACUGGUCGAGUCGGCCUGCGCGGAAGAUGUAACGGGGCUAAACCAUGCACCGAAGCUGCGGCAGCGACGCUGAUGCGUUGUUGGGUAGGGGAGCGUUCUGUAAGCCUGUGAAGGUGUGCUGUGAGGCAUGCUGGAGGUAUCAGAAGUGCGAAUGCUGACAUAAGUAACGAUAAAGCGGGUGAAAAGCCCGCUCGCCGGAAGACCAAGGGUUCCUGUCCAACGUUAAUCGGGGCAGGGUGAGUCGACCCCUAAGGCGAGGCCGAAAGGCGUAGUCGAUGGGAAACAGGUUAAUAUUCCUGUACUUGGUGUUACUGCGAAGGGGGGACGGAGAAGGCUAUGUUGGCCGGGCGACGGUUGUCCCGGUUUAAGCGUGUAGGCUGGUUUUCCAGGCAAAUCCGGAAAAUCAAGGCUGAGGCGUGAUGACGAGGCACUACGGUGCUGAAGCAACAAAUGCCCUGCUUCCAGGAAAAGCCUCUAAGCAUCAGGUAACAUCAAAUCGUACCCCAAACCGACACAGGUGGUCAGGUAGAGAAUACCAAGGCGCUUGAGAGAACUCGGGUGAAGGAACUAGGCAAAAUGGUGCCGUAACUUCGGGAGAAGGCACGCUGAUAUGUAGGUGAAGCGACUUGCUCGUGGAGCUGAAAUCAGUCGAAGAUACCAGCUGGCUGCAACUGUUUAUUAAAAACACAGCACUGUGCAAACACGAAAGUGGACGUAUACGGUGUGACGCCUGCCCGGUGCCGGAAGGUUAAUUGAUGGGGUCAGCGCAAGCGAAGCUCUUGAUCGAAGCCCCGGUAAACGGCGGCCGUAACUAUAACGGUCCUAAGGUAGCGAAAUUCCUUGUCGGGUAAGUUCCGACCUGCACGAAUGGCGUAAUGAUGGCCAGGCUGUCUCCACCCGAGACUCAGUGAAAUUGAACUCGCUGUGAAGAUGCAGUGUACCCGCGGCAAGACGGAAAGACCCCGUGAACCUUUACUAUAGCUUGACACUGAACAUUGAGCCUUGAUGUGUAGGAUAGGUGGGAGGCUUUGAAGUGUGGACGCCAGUCUGCAUGGAGCCGACCUUGAAAUACCACCCUUUAAUGUUUGAUGUUCUAACGUUGACCCGUGAUCCGGGUUGCGGACAGUGUCUGGUGGGUAGUUUGACUGGGGCGGUCUCCUCCUAAAGAGUAACGGAGGAGCACGAAGGUUGGCUAAUCCUGGUCGGACAUCAGGAGGUUAGUGCAAUGGCAUAAGCCAGCUUGACUGCGAGCGUGACGGCGCGAGCAGGUGCGAAAGCAGGUCAUAGUGAUCCGGUGGUUCUGAAUGGAAGGGCCAUCGCUCAACGGAUAAAAGGUACUCCGGGGAUAACAGGCUGAUACCGCCCAAGAGUUCAUAUCGACGGCGGUGUUUGGCACCUCGAUGUCGGCUCAUCACAUCCUGGGGCUGAAGUAGGUCCCAAGGGUAUGGCUGUUCGCCAUUUAAAGUGGUACGCGAGCUGGGUUUAGAACGUCGUGAGACAGUUCGGUCCCUAUCUGCCGUGGGCGCUGGAGAACUGAGGGGGGCUGCUCCUAGUACGAGAGGACCGGAGUGGACGCAUCACUGGUGUUCGGGUUGUCAUGCCAAUGGCACUGCCCGGUAGCUAAAUGCGGAAGAGAUAAGUGCUGAAAGCAUCUAAGCACGAAACUUGCCCCGAGAUGAGUUCUCCCUGACUCCUUGA